rnacentral:misc_RNA from 1 species
AAGUCGUAACAAGGUUUCCGUAGGUGAACCUGCGGAAGGAUCAUUAAAAAAUAUAGAAUUAAUUUUCUAUAAACCCAAUCUGUGUAUUCGUACCUAUUGCUUCCGUGGGACAGUGAACGCUUGUCGUUCCCUCUGGCGCUGUUCUUCGGAACGGAUGCUGGGGAGUGCCCACGGGAGGUCUACAUAAACUCUGUUUUUUCUGAACUCAGUCUGAAAACUGUUUUUAAAUAAACUUUAAAACUUUCAACAACGGAUCUCUUGGUUCUC